AUGGAAUCCGACUGCUUGGAGGUCAUUAAUCUCUGGAACUCACGUCAUGAUGAUAGGACAGUUGUGGCGCCUAUCCUAUCCGAAAUAUUGGAACACUCUACUAGUUUUAGGUCUUUUUGUAUUCAACAUAUUCCUAGAUUAGCCAACUACCCUGCUCACCUAUGUGCUAGACAUGCAAGCACAUUGGAUGUAACAGAAUGUUGGUUUGACUCUGUACCUAGCAUCAUUGUAACUAGCCUUCUUGCAAAUUCUGCAGAGGCUUCGUUUGUUGAAUAA
rnacentral:rRNA from 1 species